UAUUGGAAAGGCGAGUUGGCU
rnacentral:miRNA from 1 species